CCUUACAGUUCUGGAAUGUAUUGGAUAACACUGGCAGCAUUAGGUCACUGUUAUCCAAUACAAUCCAAAACUGUAAGGGAUACAAGGCAAUAUAAUGCU